rnacentral:rRNA from 1 species
CGGACGGGUGAGUAACACGUGGGUAACCUGCCCAAGAGACUGGGAUAACACCUGGAAACAGAUGCUAAUACCGGAUAACAACACUAGACGCAUGUCUAGAGUUUAAAAGAUGGUUCUGCUAUCACUCUUGGAUGGACCUGCGGUGCAUUAGCUAGUUGGUGAGGUAACGGCUCACCAAGGCGACGAUACAUAGGGGGACUGAGAGGUCAACCCCCCACAUUGGUACUGAGACACGGACCAAACUCCUACGGAAGGCAGCAG